rnacentral:rRNA from 1 species
AUUAGAGUUUGAUCAUGGCUCAGAACGAACGUUAGCGGUGUGGAUUAGGCAUGCAAGUCGCGCGCGAAAGCCUUCGGGCGAGUAAAGCGGCGAAAGGGUGAGUAACACGUAACCAACGUACCCUUCAGAUCGGGAUAACCACUGGAAACGGUGGAUAAUACCGAAUGGUCCCCCCGGAGACAUCUCCGGGAAGGUAAACGGCGGCUUCGGCUGCUGCUGAGGGAGCGGGUUGCGGCCUAUCAGCUUGUUGGUGGGGUAACGGCCUACCAAGGCUACGACGGGUAGCGGGUCUGAGAGGAUGAUCCGUCACACUGGGACUGAGACACUGCCCAGACUCCUACGGGAGGCUGCAGUCGAGAAUCUUCCGCAAUGGGCGAAAGCCUGACGGAGCGACACCGCGUGCAGGAUGAAGGCCUUCGGGUUGUAAACUGCUGUCACGCAAUAGGAAUGGCGUGUCGUUAAUAGCGGCACGCUUGACCAAAGCGAGAGGAAGAGCCGGCUAACUCCGUGCCAGCAGCCGCGGUAAGACGGAGGGCUCUAACGUUGUUCGGAAUCACUGGGCAUAAAGCGCACGUAGGCGGCUUGCUAAGUCGGAUGUGAAAGCCCCCGGCUCAACCGGGGAACUGCAUCCGAUACUGGCAGGCUCGAGGACGGCAGGGGUAAGUGGAACUCCAGGUGGAACGGUGAAAUGUGUAGAUAUCUGGAGGAACACCGGUGGCGAAAGCGGCUUACUGGGCCGUCUCUGACGCUGAGGUGCGAAAGCUAGGGUAGCGAACGGGAUUAGAUACCCCGGUAGUCCUAGCCGUAAACGAUGGGCAGGCAAUGGGGCUACCUAUGGGUUUCACUGCCGUAGCUAAUGUGUUAAGUGCCCCGCCUGGGGAGUACGCUCGCAAGGGUAAAACUCAAAGGAAUUGACGGGGGAUCACACAAGCGGUGGAGCAUGUGGUUUAAUUCGAAGCAACGCGAAGAACCUUAUCCUGGGCUUGACAUGUAUGGAUGCCCAUCUGGAAACAGAGUAGGCUGCCCUUCGGGGUGAAACUUACACAGGUGCUGCAUGGCUGUCGUCAGCUCGUGUCGUGAGAUGUCGGGUUAAGUCCCUUAACGAGCGAAACCCUUAUCGUUAGUUGCCAGCGCGUAAUGGCGGGAACUCUAGCAAGACUGCCGGUGUUAAACCGGAGGAAGGCGGGGAUGACGUCAAGUCCUCAUGGCCUUUAUGCCCAGGGCUGCACACGUGCUACAAUGGUAUGGAUAGACCGACGCAAGACCGCGAGGUGGAGCAAAUCGGAGAAAGCCGGCCCCAGUUCGGAUCGCAGUCUGCAACUCGACUGCGUGAAGUUGGAAUCGCUAGUAAUCGUAGAUCAGCUAUGCUACGGUGAAUGUGUUCCUGAGCCCUGUAGACACCGCCCGU